rnacentral:rRNA from 1 species
GACGAACGCUGGCGGCGUGCUUAACACAUGCAAGUCGAGCGAUGAAGUUCCUUCGGGGACGGAUUAGCGGCGGACGGGUGAGUAACACGUGGGUAACCUGCCUCAUAGAGGGAAAUAGCCUUCCGAAAGGAAGAUUAAUACCGCAUAAGAUUGUAGUUUCGCAUGAAACAGCAAUUAAAGGAGCAAUCCGCUAUGAGAUGGACCCGCGUCGCAUUAGCUAGUUGGUGAGGUAACGGCUCACCAAGGCGACGAUGCGUAGCCGACCUGAGAGGGUGAUCGGCCACAUUGGGACUGAGACACGGCCCAGACUCCUACGGGAGGCAGCAGUAGGGAAUAUUGCACAAUGGGGGAAACCCUGAUGCAGCAACGCCGCGUGAGUGAUGACGGUCUUCGGAUUGUAAAACUCUGUCUUCAGGGACGAUAAUGACGGUACCUGAGGAGGAAGCCACGGCUAACUACGUGCCAGCCGCCGCCGUAAUAC